rnacentral:lncRNA from 1 species
GGUACACCUCCCGGACAGGGUGGCAGCCAGGCAGAGGGGCUCCUCACUUCCCAGACGGGGCAGCCGGGCAGAGGCGCCCCCCACCUCCCAGACGGGGAGGCUGGCCGGGCGGGUGCUGCCCCCCCACCUCCCUCCUGGACAGGGCGGCUGGCCGGGCGGGGGCUAGUCAUCUUUAUACUUUCUUUGUCAACAUAUACAGGUGGUCAAAGGACAAAAUAGCUUUU